rnacentral:lncRNA from 1 species
GCUCGACGGCGGGGAACCGGCUCGGACGGCUCGCGUCGGGUGGUCCAGAGAGAAACGUGGCGAUGACGAGACUGACGCUUUUUUGUCUUUUUCUUUUUUCCAGGUAAAUUGGUGUUUUUUUUUUCAAUUAAAUGGACAAUGAGCUCAAAUUUAGCUUAAUUACAAUUAAGCGCUUGGUUUGAUUCAGCGUGCGUCCAAUUCAAAACGUAUUCCACUCAAGAUAAUAUUGAAAAUAAGAUAUUUAAUCAAAAUAAAAUAAAAUUCCACCCCCUCCAUAAUCACGUUCCACACAUCACUUAUCAUCCGACCCUUUUGAGGAAACUAGUCAAACCAAUAGACCCAUAAAAUCUGUUUUGACUCAUUUCUACAAUAUUUAGGGCGUGCAUAUAACCAUUCUAUUUCUAUUUUAAAAUUAUUUUUUUUUAUUUUAGACUUAUUUUUAGAAUAUAAAUUUAUUUGUUAAUACAAUUUCAUUUUUUUAUUUUUGAAAUAAAAAUGAAAUGUAAAAAUUUUCUAUUUAUCUAUUUUUAGAAUAAAAAUAAAAAAUAAAAACUCUUCUUAUCGAUCGUCAUCACCACUAUCCAACCACCCACUCACCACUGCCACUCGCCAUCUGCCACUACUGGUCCCCACUGCUGCCGUCGUCUACUACCACUCGCCUACCCACUUCCCCACUUCCCCACUUCCCUGAAGAUGACAGAGAUUGAAGAAAGAGUCAUAUAAAUGGAUUAGAUCAAAAUAAGUCAUAAACUCAUUUAUAACAUAUUUAACACUCAUAUUGUAUUUAAACCUAUUUAUAACCCAUUUACUUAAUAUACUUAACCAAUUUAUGACCCAUUUUAACACCUAGUUAAGGAAUGAGUUUAUGACCAUUUUGAUAGAUCAACUUUUGGAUUGGACUUUCUAAUAUUCUAUUUUCUUAUACUUGUUUUGUUGGAUUAUUUGUGAUUUAGGCACAUGUGAUUUUAAAUUGUACAAAUGAUUCUGUGGUUGUGCUGGAGGUACUGAGGCCAAAGCAACCGAGAUCUGCCCAUUAGAAAGAGUGCCGGAAUUCAGCUGAUUAAGGAAUUGGAAGGAGAUUUCGCGUUUGUUCCUAAUGAUGGCCGGUUGAACUUCAUGGAAGAAAUGUAAGCUCUUUUCUUCCAUGCUUGGUACUUAAAUUUUCCUUUCAUUGUUAUUACGCCUGAUCACUCACUUCGAAUUGCCCUAUCCCAUUAUGGGUCCAAGUGCUUACUGCAGGAUUUGGUCGUGAGGUCGGAGAUGUUCCUGGGGCCUUAAGCUUGCGACUAGAUCGUCAGCUAAUGUCAACUCAAUAGGUCUAGGAUGCUGUUUCCGGUCGAUGUCGGUAUCUUCCUCUCUUUCCUUUUCUCUGUAGUCCGGUUCUUUAUGGAGACUAGCUUGUGUGAAUUAGCAUUAAUUCAUCAUCCAAGCUUGUGGAAUCGACUUUCAUCAACUAUUACUUCGAUAGUAUAUGAUACUUAAUGC